CUGCUAAUACCGCAUAAGCCCACGGCUCGGCAUCGAGCAGAGGGAAAAGGAGCAAUCCGCUUUGAGAUGGCCUCGCGUCCGAUUAGCUAGUUGGUGAGGUAAUGGCCCACCAAGGCGACGAUCGGUAGCCGGACUGAGAGGUUGAACGGCCACAUUGGGACUGAGACACGGCCCAGACUCCUACGGGAGGCAGCAGUGGGGAAUAUUGCACAAUGGGGGAAACCCUGAUGCAGCGACGCCGCGUGGAGGAAGAAGGUCUUCGGAUUGUAAACUCCUGUUGUUGAGGAAGAUAAUGACGGUACUCAACAAGGAAGUGACGGCUAACUACGUGCCAGCAGCCGCGGUAAAACGUAGGUCACAAGCGUUGUCCGGAAUUACUGGGUGUAAAGGGAGCGCAGGCGGGCGAUCAAGUUGGAAGUGAAGUCCAUGGGCUCAACCCAUGAACUGCUUUCAAAACUGAUUGUCUUGAGUAGUGCAGAGGUAGGCGGAAUUCCCGGUGUAGCGGUGGAAUGCGUAGAUAUCGGGAGGAACACCAGUGGCGAAGGCGGCCUACUGGGCACCAACUGACGCUGAGGCUCGAAAGUGUGGGUAGCAAACAGGAUUAGAUACCCUGGUAGUCCACACCGUAAACGAUGAUUACUAGGUGUUGGAGGAUUGACCCCUUCAGUGCCGCAGUUAACACAAUAAGUAAUCCACCUGGGGAGUACGACCGCAAGGUUGAAACUCAAAGGAAUUGACGGGGGCCCGCACAAGCAGUGGAGUAUGUGGUUUAAUUCGACGCAACGCGAAGAACCUUACCAAGUCUUGACAUCCUGCGACGAUGCUAGAAAUAGUAUUUUCCUUCGGGACGCAGAGACAGGUGGUGCAUGGUUGUCGUCGGCUCGUGUCGUGAGAUGUUGGGUUAAGUCCCGCAACGAGCGCAACCCUUAUGGUCAGUUACUACGCAAGAGGACUCUGGCCAGACUGCCGUUGACAAAACGGAGGAAGGUGGGGAUGACGUCAAAUCAUCAUGCCCUUUAUGACUUGGGCUACACACGUACUACAAUGGCGUUAAACAAAGAGAAGCAAGACCGCGAGGUGGAGCAAAACUCAGAAACAACGUCCCAGUUCGGACUCAGGCUGCAACUCGCCUGCACGAAGUCGGAAUUGCUAGUAAUCGUGGAUCAGCAUGCCACGGUGAAUACGUUCCCGGGCCUUGUACACACCGCCCGUCACACCAUGAGAGCCGGGGGGACCCGAAGUCGGUAGUCUAACCGCAAGGAGGACGCCGCCGAAGGUAAAACUGGUGAUUGGGGUGAAGUCGAAACAAGGU
rnacentral:rRNA from 1 species